GUACACGCUGUGACUAGCAUAUCAAUAAGCGGAGGAAAAGAAACUAACAAGGAUUCCCCUAGUAACGGCGAGUGAAGCGGGAAGAGCUCAAAUUUGAAAUCUUAAAGGGUUUCCCUUUACGAAUUGUAGUUUAAAGAAGUGUUUUCUGUUGAGGUUUUGGUAAAAGUUCUUUGGAAUAGGACAUCAUAGAGGGUGAGAAUCCCGUAUUUGACCUUUACUUUCAACUUUGUGAUACACUUUCAAAGAGUUGGAUUGUUUGGGAAUGCAGUCCAAAACUGGGUGGUAAAUUUCAUCUAAAGCUAAAUAUUGGCGAGAGACCGAUAGCGAACAAGUACCGUGAGGGAAAGAUGAAAAGAACUUUGAAAAGAGAGUUAAACAGUACGUGAAAUUGUCAAAAGGGAAGCGUUUGACACCAGUGUUGUUUUUCUGAAAAUCAAUUAAAGAACUGUUUAUGCUAAGCUGUUUAGACUUUAUCAGCUAACUGUUUAGUUUUGAGCUUUUCUUUAAUGCACUUUUCAGUUAACAAGUCAACAUCAAUUUCUUUUGCUGUAAAAAAGCUUGAGGAAGGUGGCUUGAGACUCGUCUUAAGUGUUUAUAGCCUCUUGCCUAUGCAGUCGGAGAGAUUGAGGUCUGCAGCGUAGAUCCUUCGGGGCUAAAUGCAUUUGUGCUAAGUUAUAGCAUUUUAUAGACAACUUGUUGACUAUGAUUUGUCUUGUAGCUUACUCGCUUAUGUUAUUUUACCUACGCUUAGGAUGUUGACGCGCGUGUGUGCGUG
rnacentral:rRNA from 1 species